rnacentral:rRNA from 1 species
UACAGAGGUCUCAAGCGUUGUUCGGAUUCAUUGGGCGUAAAGGGUGCGUAGGUGGCGCGGUAAGUCGGGCGUGAAAUUUCGGAGCUUAACUCCGAAACUGCAUUCGAUACUGCCGUGCUUGAGGACUGGAGAGGAGACUGGAAUUUACGGUGUAGCAGUGAAAUGCGUAGAUAUCGUAAGGAAGACCAGUGGCGAAGGCGGGUCUCUGGACAGUUCCUGACACUGAGGCACGAAGGCCAGGGGAGCAAACGGG